GUUUUAAUAGUUUAAUAUAAAACAUUGGUCUUGUAAACCAAAAUUAAGAACAUUCUUUUAAAACU
rnacentral:tRNA from 1 species